rnacentral:misc_RNA from 1 species
GAUGAAGAACGUAGCGAAAUGCGAUAAGUAAUGUGAAUUGCAGAAUUCAGUGAAUCAUCGAAUCUUUGAACACACCUUGCACCCUUUGGCAUUCUGAAGGGUAUGCUCGUUUGAGUGUCAUUGUACUCUCACACUCCCGAUCUUUGCAUUGGGAGCAGUGGACUUGGGUUUGCUGCUUCACCGUCGCUUACCUCAAAUAGGUUAGUGCAACUCUUGGUUGGACAUAGUACGGCGUGAUAAGUGUUCUUCGCCGGUGCCUCGCAAAGAGGGUGGCCGAUCGGGAUGUUGUGCUCCAAACCGUCUUCGGACAAUCUCUGACGACUUGACCUCAAAUCGAGUAAGACUACCCGCUGAACUUAAGCAUAUCAAUAAGCGGAGGA